CUCCUUAUUUGAGAUCUUUAAUAGCAGCAGCUGCUGAAGGAAAGGGAACUGCAGAAGCACGCUUGUUGCCAAACUGUGCAUUUAAAUGGAAGGAGGAGAACCAGAUGGGGAAAUCACUCUUCAGUGUUUACUAGCACAAUCAGCACCUGAGGCAGCACUUAUUCAGGUGCUGAAAUUACAGAGAUAUUGGGGAACAGCAUGGAGGAAGAGAAACAAAGAUUAAACGAUGGAGAAGAGUGCCGUGCUCUGGAUCCGUAGGGACAAAAUGGGCAGGAAUAGGGACUGCACUUACAAAAGAAAUGGGAUGUCUCUCUAUUGCGAGCACAGAUGUUGGCACAGCAGUGAAGAGCUGAGUAAGACACUCGAUGCAUCUCUGUGAAGCAGCCUCAAGUCAAAGGUAA